rnacentral:rRNA from 1 species
AAAUUGAAGAGUUUGAUCAUGGCUCAGAUUGAACGCUGGCGGCAGGCCUAACACAUGCAAGUCGAACGGUAACAGGAAGCAGCUUGCUGCUUCGCUGACGAGUGGCGGACGGGUGAGUAAUGUCUGGGAAACUGCCUGAUGGAGAGGGAUAACUACUGGAAACGGUGGCUAAUACCGCAUAACGUCGCAAGACCAAAGAGGGGGACCUUCGGGCCUCUUGCCAUCAGAUGUGCCCAGAUGGGAUUAG